rnacentral:tRNA from 1 species
GGAACUAUGCCUGAAAUUCAAGGACCACUUUGAUAGAGUGACUCACGAGGGUUAAAGUCCCUCUAGUUCCU